rnacentral:rRNA from 1 species
GACGGAAGGUGCAAGCGUUGCUCGGAAUCACUGGGCGUAAAGGGUGCGUAGGCGGCCGCGCAAGUCUGGCGUGAAAGCCCCGGGCUCAGCCCGGGAAGGGCGCUCGAAACGGCGCGGCUCGAGUGCCGGAGGGGAGAGUGGAAUUCCUGGUGUAGCGGUGAAAUGCGUAGAUAUCAGGAGGAACACCGGUGGCGAAGGCGGCAUCCUGGACCAAUAUUGACGCUGAGGAGCGAAAGCUAGGGGAGCAAACGGG